GUCCGUAAAGGUGGAUGAGUGGUGUUUGGUUUGUUACGUGUGGUUGGCUGCGGCGYUUGCAACAACUUCCAUGCUUUCAGACCUCUUCAGUUGUGCGGCAAGGCUUGUAUCGCCUUGAGCGUAUCGUGGGUUUUCUGUGUUGGCUACCUAAUCAACGGUAUCGGUUGGAUUGAUCAAAGUUUGAUUUCGUCUUCCGUCGCAUUCGCGGCGUGAGGUGAACCUCGAUGCGGUCUCUUUGAUCCACCUCGUCGGAGCACAUGCUUUGACGUUGUGGCGCAUUGAGCAUUGCUUGGUCUCUUGUAUACGGAACAUAUAGUGGGCAUGGAUCUAACGAUUCUCGUUUGCCCUCAUAUUAGCGUAACGCUUCUCUUACACGACUUGCUCCACGUUUUAGCUCGUACGGACGUGGU
rnacentral:misc_RNA from 1 species